CCGUAUAUUUUAGAAGCCCAAAAUUUUCCCCAAUUCAGUCCAAAACGGAUCGACCCGACCCAAUACCCAAUACUCAGCCCUACGACCCUAGACUCUAUUAUGGAUAGAGUAACGUAUAUACUCCGGAGAGAAAAGCAGCGCCGCUGAUCAUCACACGAGACCCCUUCCCGUCAAAAGAGUCGUCUUCUUCACAGCCAACAACACCCCCUAUCGAUCUUCUUCUCUUUCAGAGCAUAAGAGUCAGCUUCCAUGGCUGCUCCUUAACCAGAAAAAACCAACGAACCCUGACCAAACCUGCGACACCAUCAACCCGCCGGCCAACCCCAACAUCGCCCCGUUCCUCAAAUCUCCAAAACCAGUCGACCACCACACUGUACACACUCAGUCAACAAAAAAAAAGAGAAAAAGAUCGAAGAUAUAUAUUUCUGCCUCUUCAUUUCAUUUUCGGUUUUUGAAAGAUUAAGAAAACAAGACAGAAAUUUACAAUCGAAAGUAUUUCGCUGCUUCUUUCCUCGGUUUUAAUUUUCGUUCUCAAAUUAUGGAUUUCGCUUGAGUUCAAUUGGGUCGUUGCCAGUUCGACUGUCCGCUCGUGGCUCCUGUUCUCGAUUCCGUUGUUAAAUUAGCUGCUGUCACUCUUUUGUUGAGUUUUGGAGUCAGAAUUUGUAACUAAAUCUUCUCAGUUUCUGCUAUUAGAAAGACCUUGCUUAACAGGAAGAAACUGCUAAGCAGGUUCGAGUCUAGGUUUUGUUUAAGUUUGCGGUUCCUAUCAUAGUUCUUAUUGUUAUCAUUGCAUUUCAUUUGGAUUUUGGAAUCAAGGAUUGUUUGUUUAUUAAUUCAGCAAUUCGUUGAGCUCUUCUUUAUUUUUUCGAUCCGGAAUAUUAGGAUUCAAGUUUCAGGAGAGCCAUCAAAAGAUGGAUUGAGUUACUACUUGUCAUUGGGAUUUACUA
rnacentral:lncRNA from 1 species